UACGUAGGGUGCGAGCGUUGUCCGGAAUUAUUGGGCGUAAAGAGCUUGUAGGCGGUUUGUCGCGUCUGCUGUGAAAAUCCGGGGCUCAACCCCCGGACUUGCAGUGGGUACGGGCAGACUAGAGUGUGGUAGGGGAGACUGGAAUUCCUGGUGUAGCGGUGAAAUGCGCAGAUAUCAGGAGGAACACCGGUGGCGAAGGCGGGUCUCUGGG
rnacentral:rRNA from 1 species